AACGCACAUUGCGCCCAUUAGUAUUCUAGUGGGCAUGCCUGUUCGAGCGUCAUUAAGUCCACUUAAGCCUAGCUUAGUGUUGGGAGUCUACUUUGAGCGGUGCUACCCUGUAGUUACCCUGUAGUUCCUUAAAGACAGCGGCGGAGUUGUAAUACCCUCUGAGCUUAGUAAUUUUCCUAGCUUUCGAGUCGUUACUUCCCCUGCCGUUAAACCCUCUACCUUGGUAGUUUUUUUAAUGGUUGACCUCGGAUCAGGUAGGAAUACCCGCUGAACUUAA
rnacentral:misc_RNA from 1 species